rnacentral:lncRNA from 1 species
GAGGUUAUAGCUCCGGUGAGGACCCUUCGAUGCUCAAGUUAGAAAAGUAGAGAAUAAAAAAGCAGCAACAAAUUCUUUGAAAGGAAUUUGAUUGGAUUUAUUUAGGUCCUCGGGCUCCGAUUGUUUAUCUAGAAGGAUGUCAGACAGUUGGAUUGUUAGCUGUAAGAUUGUAUGAUCCCAAGAUUGUCAGACCAUUGGACAUGUCAAACUGGAUAAGAUAAUUUCAUCCUUAAUCGCUCCCAC